UGAACCUGCGGAAGGAUCAUUACAAGUGAGGCUACCGAACGUUGGAAACAGCGGUUAGGAGCUUACACCCACCCGUGUUUACAUACUAUUGUUGCUUUGGCGGGCCGUGGCCUCCACUGCGGGCUCUGCUCGUGUGUGCCCGCCAGAGAACCAAACUCUGAAUGUUAGUGAUGUCUGAGUACUAUCUAAUAGUUAAAACUUUCAACAACGGAUCUCUUGGUUCUGGCAUCGAUGAAGAACGCAGCGAAAUGCGAUAAGUAAUGUGAAUUGCAGAAUUCAGUGAAUCAUCGAAUCUUUGAACGCACAUUGCGCCCUGUGGUAUUCCGCAGGGCAUGCCUGUUCGAGCGUCAUUUAACCACUCACGCCUGGCGUGGUAUUGGGGCACGCGGUCUCCGCGGCCCUCAAAAUUAGUGGCGGUGCCGGUGGGCUCUAAGCGUAGUACAUACUCCCGCUAUAGAGUUCCCCCGGUGGCUCGCCAGAACCCCCAAUUUUUUACAGGUUGACCUCGGAUCAGGUAGGGAUACCCGCUGAACUUAAGCAUAUCAAAAGGCCCGGAGGAAA
rnacentral:rRNA from 1 species